CUGCGGUGGGGGAGCGCUGGGGUUUGGCAGAGGGGAGCGCGCGUUGCGUAACGGGCGGUACACAAGUGUGUGUGUGUGUGUGAUCUGUAGGUAUGUAUGUGCCUGUGUACGUAUAGAUACGUGUGGGUGCGUGUAUAUACGUGCGGGUACCUAUGGUAUGUAUAUGUGCGGGACACCCAGCCCCGUCGCUCUCUCCACCUGCAGCACGGGGCACACGCGGAGCUGCGAGCGUGCUCCCCCCCCCUUUUAUUUUAUUUUUUUUAUAGGUUCGGGGAGAGAUGUUAACUCCGCUAGCAGUUUCUUGGAUCAUUAAAACGUAGCGUGUAGGCAAGGCGGCGAGCUGCGAAGACGCUGGCUGUCGUGAGCGAUGCUAAGUGUGAAAUCAUGCCUCGCCUUUUGUGGAGCAGGCUAUUUUUGUAAGGCGGCGGGUGCCGGGCUUCAGGCUCUGCCCUUGCUGCCGGAGCCCCGACAGCUCCGGAGUAAAGCCGCGUCUCUCCUCCUCUGAGGUGGUGGUGGUAAUAAACGUGAGGCAGGAGUGACAUCUUAUUAGAAUUGCACUUUGGGAUGUCGGGAAGAUUGCGAAAUUGCAGCGUUGCUGUUUGCUCUAGUUGAAGAUGUGUCGGGGUUUUCACGGCGAAAAGCCGUUUCUUUGAGACUUUGGGACUGCCGCUGAACUUGUGCAUGUUUUAAUCCGGCGUUGGAAGCCUCGGGCGAGGAGCAAGGAAUUUUUUUCGGGCUGGGAGCUGACUGAGGUUCUGCCAUCGCGGUGGCAUGCUCUGCAGCUGGGAGAGGGUGGUGGUGCUCAGGGACGGGGACUGCUCCAGGUACGUGAGUGCCAGGAUUGGAGAUGGUUGCGAUGGCUAGAGUGAAAUGAUAAGGUUGUGUGUUCAGCUGCUGUCCGUGGGGCUGUCGUGGCAACAGCCUUAAACCAGUGUGGUACGAGCCUUGACAUCUGACAGAUAGAAAUAAAAUUCCCCCUCUGACACCCACGUGCACCCGCCAGGGGUCCGGGUGCUGGAGUGGGGAAGGGGACCGGUGCCAAGCCCCCUCGUGUUUGGCUGUCCGGCUCCAGAGGCUGUUGGGAAGGCGCUCCGAGGUGAGAGGUGGAAGGAAAGCUGCAGGAAGACCAGCUGGGAGGACUGCAAAUCGGGAUCGCGGGUCUGGUUUUCCUGCUAGCUGGCUCCGUGAUGCCAGAGCAGGCGUUCUCAAAGAGAGGGCAGUCAUCGGGUGGAUGGUCGGAGCUGCUAGGCAGAAAGGCUUGGGUGAUGCUGGGCAGCUCCACUGUGCAGCUGGUGCUCAGACAGCCGCUCUUCUUGGAAACUUUCACAGUGGGGAGGCUCGGAUGGGAGAGGUGCAGGCAGCAGAUGCACAAGUGAUGCACGCGUGCUGACGGAUCCCGACGGGUCCAUCAUCAGGUACCUCUCAUUGGGACAGGAGUGCCGGGACAGGUAUUGGUAGUCCUCUCCUGACCCGGAGGCACAUCUGGAACAUCUGCUGGCGUUAAUGCCAGGCAGGCUUGCAGGACGAUGCGCUGGCGAUGUGGGUGGGACGCCCUCCUCUCCUCCCUGCUUUGCUUUUGGGAGGUCGCUUUGCAGGAUGAGGAUCGGCAGCUCUCCCUCCUGAGCUGGGCACGAAGCAGGGCUAGCGAUAGCACACGGGUGGCCAGCUCGGAGUGACGGCCCCAGCCCCAACAAAUAGGUGCUGACCGCAAGCUGCCUGCAUGAGGAAGCUCUGCAAUCUUGCGUAUCGCUUUCUGUGUGCGUGCAGUUAGCGACAAAGAGAGCUGAAAAUAAAACUCCACAUGGAUGAUGUGUAUUGCAGAGUAUGUGACAGAGGUUGCUCGCUCUGGCGUAUUUUAAAACUUUCAUUGUGUGAUGUUCUGUUCUGAAGUGCAGAAGCUGUCUUACUUAACCAGGCUGCAGUUUGAUCGCCUGUUAUUUUCCUGAAGGUAUUCUCGAAAAAUAAUUGCCAGCCGUGGGGGGGAAAAAAUAACAUCAACAAUCGCAUCUUUUUCAUGGGAAUUCUUAGAAGAUGUUUUCUCAGUGUGCGCCUCGAUGUCCUUUUUGGAUAGGACUUCACACACGCUUAGAUUAAAUAAAAGAGACCUCUUACGGUGUAGCUAGUAAAUGUCUAUGGCACAAAGCUG